rnacentral:rRNA from 1 species
UACGUAGGGGGCAAGCGUUGUUCGGAUUUACUGGGCGUAAAGCGCUCGUAGGCGGUUACUUAAGUCGGGGGUGAAAUCCCGGGGCUCAACCCCGGAACUGCCUUUGAUACUGGGUAUCUCGAGUCCGGAAGAGGUGAGUGGAAUUCCGAGUGUAGAGGUGAAAUUCGUAGAUAUUCGGAGGAACACCAGUGGCGAAGGCGGCUCACUGGUCCGGUACUGACGCUGAGGUGCGAAAGCGUGGGGAGCGAACAGG